rnacentral:lncRNA from 1 species
AGAAUAGGAUAAGAUGAAGAAGAUGGAGCAGCUUCUCUUUCUGAGUUUCGACCAUUAUUGCUUCUCUUCACAGGACUUGCUUUCUUAUUUGUUUGUCUUAUCUUUGGUAUCGGUGUUUUCUUAUUAUCAGCUUUGUUGCUGUUAUUCUUCCUCUGUUCCGCUCCUCCUCCUUUUCCCGUAGUAGAAGAAUCAGCAGCAGAGCUACGCUUCAAUGUGUCAUCCGAAGAGCCCACUUUCAUUCUCCUGAGAAAACUCGCAGCCCUUUUCUUUUUCGAGCCACCUUUCUUCUCUUCAUCAGUUUUCUUAACCUUAUCUUUGCUAUCAUCAACAUUCAAACUGGAGUC